rnacentral:rRNA from 1 species
UACGAAGGGUGCAAGCGUUACUCGGAAUUACUGGGCGUAAAGCGUGCGUAGGCGGUUUGUUAAGUCCGCUGUGAAAGCCCUGGGCUCAACCUGGGAAUUGCAGUGGAUACUGGCAAGCUAGAGUGCGGUAGAGGAUGGUGGAAUUCCUGGUGUAGCGGUGAAAUGCGCAGAUAUCAGGAAGAACACCCGUGGCGAAGGCGGCUCUCUGGAACGCAACUGACGCUGAGACGCGAAAGCGUGGGGAGCAAACAGG